rnacentral:rRNA from 1 species
AUUGAACGCUGGCGGCAGGCCUAACACAUGCAAGUCGAACGAGGGGCGCAGGGGUGAGAAAUGUGGGGAAAAUGCCCUGAUGGAGGGGGUAAACUACUGGAAACGGUACCAAAUCCGGCAUACCAUAAGAUGUGACCAGAUGGGCCUAUCUUGUUGGUGGGGUAACGGCUCACCAAGGCGACGGUCCCUAGCAGGUCUGAGAGGCUGACAGGCCACACUGGAACUGUGACACGGUGCAGACGCCUACGGUAGGCAGCAGUGGGGAAUAUUGCGCAAUGGGCGAAAGCCUGAUGCAGCCAUGCCGCGUGUAUGAAGAAGGCCUUCGGGUUGUAAAGUUCUUUAAGCGGGGCGGCGGUACGCGGAGAAGAAGCACCGGCUAACUCCGUGCCAGCAGCCGCGGUAAUAC